rnacentral:rRNA from 1 species
UACGUAGGGGGCAGGCGUUGUCCGGAAUCAUUGGGCGUAAAGAGCGUGUAGGCGGUUCGGUAAGUCUGCUGUGAAAGUCCAGGGCUCAACCCUGGAAAGCCGGUGGAUACUGUCGGACUAGAGUGCGGAAGAGGCGAGUGGAAUUCCCGGUGUAGCGGUGAAAUGCGCAGAUAUCGGGAGGAACACCAGUGGCGAAGGCGACUACCUGGCCUGUUCUUGACGCUGAGGCGCGAAAGCUAGGGGAGCAAACGGG